rnacentral:tRNA from 1 species
GGUUAGUUAGCUCAGUUGGUAGAGCAACGGACUCUUAAUCCGUGGGUCCAGGGUUCGAGCCCCUGACUGACCAC